UAUCCAGUUGUAUAUUUUAUAUCUGUGUAUUUAAUUGUGUACAGGUUAUAUCUUAACUUCUUUUAAAAGAGGAAGAACACAGGGGAAGAAUUAGGUCACAGGAUGUGGAGGAAAUUCUCAGUGGGAUACCUCCAAGCAAACAAUGCCAACUCCUCAGUUCGUUCAAGUAUUGUGAGUGCCACGGGGUCAGACACACUCAGCAAAACCACCGUGCUUUCAGAGACUCAAGCAGAAAGAUCUCUUCUGGAGAAUCUGGAAGCUUCCCAAAGGCUCCUUGUGAGGAGGCACUCAGGUGUACUUGUUAUCAUUUGAGCCAUUUGAGGAGUGCUGCAAAAAUAUCUACCGGCGAGAAGAAAAAUGUUCUCCUUAAUGAAUAGAUUCUUCCAGGUCCUAACUGCUGGGAAUGAAGUCGGCCGCAGGGCUGGGCUGGGGAGCACAUGCCUUUACUGGAUAACUGAGUUAGGUCUGGCCUCUUCCCCCCAAAACAGUGACCCUGGCUAAAGGCUAUUAUUUCACCAUUACAACUUCAUUUGUGUAGCCAGGAAAUCUUUCCUCUUCAAAGAUCUCCUUUUAAAGUAGACAUUCUCCCAAGCAAUUAAUAAUGAUGUCUUCUUUUUCACAAGUCAACUAGCUGGUUACACCGCCAUUCCCAUGCAUCAUCUCCUUGAUCCUUACCACAAGAUCAUGUGGAAGAAGAGGUAUUAUUAUUAUUAAUAUUAUGAUCUCCACCUCUUUUUUGGAAGAGAGAGCCCACAGUUAUGUGUUCACCCAGACCACCUAAAUGGUCCAGAGCAGAGCAGAACUAAGCAGGUGAAUCUUCCAGUAACAGGCUCCAUGUCCUUUCCAGGGUGCCAAGGCCCCCAGUCCUCAGAAUCCAAGUGAGGAUUGAUGGGCUGCUGGGAGAGCAGAAAGAGAACACAGGACCAGUGCCUGGGGAAGGCAGGAAGACUGCAUGUGGCAGGAUGCUGGGGAGUGAGCAGAGGGGUGAUAGGAAGGAAGGGGUGACCAGGUCCGCCUUCUCUGGCUCCGUUGUUUGGCAUAUCCACCCCCAUGCGUGCAAGCUCAGCUGCUCAAUUGUAUCUGACUCUUUGCAAUGCCACUGACUGUAGUCCACCAGGCUCCUCUGUCCACGGGAUUUUCUAGGCAAGAAUACUGCAAUGGUUUGCCAUUUCCUCCCCCAGGGGAUCUUCCUGACCCAGGGAUCAGACUCGUGUCUCCUGCAUCUUCUGUACUGGCAGGCAGAUUCUUUACCACUGAACCACCUAGAAGGCCCAUAUCCAUCCCCAGAGAACCUUAAAUACCCCAGGAAUUCAGAACAUGCAUGUAGAUGAAACUACUUCACUUAGUCUUCCAGGCCAAUAAAUUGAAUAAAUUUUGAUUCA
rnacentral:lncRNA from 1 species